AGCGAACGCUGGCGGUAUGCUUAACACAUGCAAGUCGAGCGCGAAAGUGACUUCGGUCAUGAGUAGAGCGGCGGACGGGUGAGUAACACGUGGAUAAUCUGCCUUUAGGACUGGGAUAACCCUGGGAAACUAGGGUUAAUACCGGAUAAGACCACAGGUUCCAUGGAACCAGGGGUAAAAGGCGGCCUUCGGGCUGUCGCCGAAAGAUGAGUCCGCGUCCCAUCAGGUAGUUGGUGAGGAACGGCUCACCAAGCCGAAGACGGGUAGCCGACCUUAGCGGGUGAUCGGCCACACGGGGACUGAGACACGGCCCCGACUCCUACGGGAGGCAGCAGUGGGGAAUCUUGGGCAAUGGGCGCAAGCCUGACCCAGCAAUACCGCGUGAGGGAUGAAGGCC
rnacentral:rRNA from 1 species